GUGGGGGAUAUUGGACAAUGGGGGGAACCCUGAUCCAGCGACGCCGCGUGAGUGAAGAAGUAUUUCGGUAUGUAAAGCUCUGUCAGCAGGGAAGAAAGAAAUGACGGUACCUGACCAAGAAGCCCCGGCUAACUACGUGCCAGCAGCCGCGGUAAUACGUAGGGGGCAAGCGUUAUCCGGAAUUACUGGGUGUAAAGGGAGCGUAGACGGUUAAGUAAGUCUGGAGUGAAAGGCCGGGGCCCAACCCCGGGACUGCUCUGGAAACUAUUUAACUUGAGUGCAGGAGAGGUAAGCGGAAUUCCUAGUGUAGCGGUGAAAUGCGUAGAUAUUAGGAGGAACACCAGUGGCGAAGGCGGCUUACUGGACUGUAACUGACGUUGAGGCUCGAAAGCGUGGGGAGCAAACAGGAUUAGAAACCCGGGUAGUCC
rnacentral:rRNA from 1 species